UUGGCAUUGGCAAAGUUGAAGCACUAAUAUUCACUAAACCAUUGGCUAAAGAGCAAUUCUUCAAGAUUCGGCGAGAACUUGGUAUUUUCAAUGAAGGUGACAUCUAACCUUUCUUCAAAUUGCUUGUUAUGUGGUAUAGUAUCUUAAAAUAUGUUGAUUUUCAAUUUUUAUGUUAUGCAAUGCUAGCACUUCUGUUUCGCCGUUUUUAGUUUUUCUUACUUUCGCAUAUCCAAAAAUUAUCCGUUUUAAAAUAUUUUUUGAUCGAAAGUUGCGUAUUGAUAAGUGCUAAUACUCUGUGAAAACUUUUUUUAAAAAUCUUUUCCCAUUGUUUCAAACAGAGCUGCUGUUUUUUUUUUUUAAUUAUUUUUUGAAAAUUUUAGCCCGUUAACAGGUUAACGGAAUCGGUUAACAGGUUAACGCCUCCAAAACAGCACUUCUGCAUUAGCUUUAAAAAUCCAGAAUUUUUAAUAUUUUUGGUAUAUGUGUUUAUGGUUAGUGCAUGUGCUUGAAUGCUUAUCUAAUGAUCACAUAAUGUGUGUAUGCUUGUCUGCUUUUCUUUUUUAAGUUUCUUCCUUUUUGCUAAUGACAAAGGGGGAGAAGAAAUAUGUGUUUGUGUGUUUGUUUUUCUCUAACAAAAUGCAGCUAAAAAAGACUCUCUAAAAAUCAUGAAUUUAGGGGGAGCGUUGAUCAAGGGGGAGCCUUGUGUGUUAGAGAAACAAAAGUAGAGCAAACUUUCAAAAUUGGGUUGUCAUCAUCAAAAAGGGGGAGAAUGUGAAGGCAAGCCUCUAAACGGUUUUGAUGAAGACAACAUUAUUCAUUCAAGAUGUUAUGCAUGCUCAAAAAGGA
rnacentral:lncRNA from 1 species